rnacentral:rRNA from 1 species
AACAAACGCUGGCGGCGUGCCUAAUUCAUGCAAGUCGAACGGGGUAGCAAUACCUAGUGGCGCACGGGUGAGUAACGCGUGGAUAAUCUGCCUUAGAGUGGGGGAUAACUAGUCGAAAGACUAGCUAAUACCGCAUAAGACCACAAGAACUGCGGUUCAAGGGGUCAAAGGUUUUUCGCUCUAAGAUGAGUCCGCGUAAGAUUAGCUAGUUGGUGAGGUAAUGGCUCACCAAGGCGACGAUCUUUAACUGGUCUGAGAGGAUGAUCAGUCACACUGGAACUGAGACACGGUCCAGACUCCUACGGGAGGCAGCAGUAGGGAAUAUUGCACAAUGGAGGAAACUCUGAUGCAGCGACGCCGCGUGAGUGAUGAAGGCCUUCGGGUCGUAAAGCUCUGUCGCAGGGGAAUAACACAAUGAAUGUACCCUGUAAGAAAGGAUCGGCUAACUUCGUGCCAGCAGCCGCCGUAAUAC